AAAUGCAUAUAUAUAAGACAUAAUAGUCUGACUCAGAACUUGGAAUACAAUUAAGUCAUCAUGUAUGACUGUUCCAUAAUCAUUGUAAGAAUCCAAACAUGGGUCAUCAAAAUUAUUAAUAACCAAAUCUCUUCCACAUAUAGUGUGUGAUUUAGUAAGAGGAGAGGCCCUCAGAUGUUUGUUCUCCACUUUGAUUCCUAAUCAAGACUCAUGAAAACUCUCCCAUCUGCACUGGCCCAGGAAGUCCAUGUCUAAAGAGGAUUUGAAGCAAAAAUAUACGCAAAGUUACAGAGAGAAAAGACGAGACGGAGAACUUCCAUCUGCCCAUGAGCAGGGCAGUGGAUAGGAAGUGGAGCAGCCAGGACUCAAACCAGCACCUAGCUCACCAAAAUGCCUGCUACAGAUCAGAAUCUCACACAGGAUUUUUAGUCACCCCAUUCCCGAUGGCUUUGAAGAUUUCCUCGGAGACAGUUGAUGGAGUCAAAGAAAAUUAAGUACAAAGGUUAUAUAAAUUGCAAAACCAACCUAAUGGAAGCCACCAUAUUUGUCUGUUCUGCUUCAAUAAACACAGAAAAAAGAUAAAGCUGCUGCAGAGAACCACACUGUAGCUUUGCCUGAGGGAGAACCUUAAGAAAAUGUACCAGUGUGACGUGUUUUUCUGACAAGCGGAAAAGAACAUGGAAGUAAAGUUAUCCACAUAAAUUAGGACAGACAGCUGGUCAGAGUCUGCC